GCGCCUAUAGCUCAGGGGAUAGAGCGCCGGCCUCCGGAGCCGGGUGCGCAGGUUCGAUUCCUGCUAGGCGCACCA
rnacentral:tRNA from 2 species